GACGAACCGUGCGAACGUUGUUCGGAAUCACUGGGCUUAAAGGGCGCGUAGGUGGUUUGCCAAGUCGGGGUUGAAAUCUUUCGGCUUAACCGGAAAAGUGGCUUCGAUACUGGCAAGCUGGAGGGAGGUAGGGGCGGAUGGAACUUCCGGUGGAGCGGUGAGAUGUGUUGAUAUCGGAAGGAACGCCGGUGGCGAAAGCGAUCCGCUGGACCUCUUCUGACACUGAGGCGCGAAAGCCAGGGGAGCAAACGGG
rnacentral:rRNA from 1 species